AGGUCUCAUAGCUAGUCUGAGGUUGAUUUGAACUCAGUUCUUCUUGAGUCUAGUCCCAGCACUCUAUCCACCAGAGCCACCUAGUUGUCUGAAUGCACUAAAUUCACCACUUAGACCUCUGUGGCAAAUUCUGUCAUAAAGUGAAAAAUCCUUUUGAAAUAGGAUUAACCAAUCACCCCCUAUUUUUUUUCUCUUGCAUAAGUUCAUGUUUUCAUGUUAUCAGUUUUUCUCAAAGCAGGGCACAGCUGCGAUAUUUAAAAUGUUUAAUUUAGGUUUCUUUAGAAGUUAACAUUGAGCAGAGAAGGUUGAUCUUGGAAACAAUAACAUUAAGCCUUACUUCACGGCAGUUCGACUUUUUAAAGUACACAUAUCAUUCAGGAAAAAAUGAAGCUAUUUUGGAUCGGCAUUGGAGAGUAAAGUUUUAAAAUUUCUCUGGAGAGGGUGAAUUGAGAGAAGACGGAGGGCAGCAGUGGUGGUGAGAGCAGAUGGAGACUGACUCAGCCUUGUGGUGUCUGGAGUCUUCUUUCCCUGGUGCUCUUAUCCACUCGUUAAGAGAAUGGAACAGGAGUGAAAAGGAUUAUUAUACCUACUCGGAAAAGUCUCUGAUUCACAGUGCGCCGAGUCUGUCCCGGUUUCUUCCUUGUUAUUGCCUACACGUGGUCAAGCACUGGUUACAGCUAAAUGUUUCCUAGUUGUUUGUAUUUCAAUACUAGUGCUAGAUAAAGAUCUUUUAAAAUUGCA